GAUGAACGCUGGCGGCGUGCCUAAUACAUGCAAGUCGAGCGAGAAGCUUGGAAAUGACGCUUCGGUUGAUUUUCCAAGCGGACAGCGGCGGACGGGUGAGUAACGCGUAGGCAACCUGCCCCUGACAGAGGGAUAGCCAUUGGAAACGAUGAUUAAAACCUCAUGACACCGUAGUAGCACAUGCUACAUCGGUCAAAGAUUUAUCGGUCAGGGAUGGGCCUGCGUCUGAUUAACUGGUUGGUGAGGUAACGGCUCACCAAGGUGACGAUCAGUAGCCGACCUGAGAGGGUGAUCGGCCACAUUGGAACUGAGACACGGUCCAAACUUCUACGGAAGGCAGCAGUAGGGAAUCUUGCACAAUGGGCGAAAGCCUGAUGCAGCAACGCCGCGUGAAGGAUGAAGGCCUUCGGGUUGUAAACUUCUG
rnacentral:rRNA from 1 species